rnacentral:tRNA from 2 species
GGGGGUGUAGCUCAGUGAUAGAGUGUGUGCUUAGCGUGCACGAGGUCCUGGGUUCGAUUCCCCAGCACCUCCA